rnacentral:rRNA from 1 species
UACGUAGGGUGCAAGCGUUAAUCGGAAUUACUGGGCGUAAAGCGUGCGCAGGCGGUUAUGCAAGACAGAUGUGAAAUCCCCGGGCUUAACCUGGGAACUGCAUUUGUGACUGCAUAGCUGGAGUACGGCAGAGGGGGAUGGAAUUCCGCGUAUAGCAGUGAAAUGCGUAGAUAUGCGGAGGAACACCGAUGGCGAAGGCAGUCCCCUGAACCUGUACUGACGCUCAUGCACGAAAGCGUGGGGAGCAAACAGG